rnacentral:rRNA from 1 species
UACGGAAGGCAGCAGUGGGGAAUAUUGCACAAUGGGCGAAAGCCUGAUGCAGCUAUGCCGCGUGUAUGAAGAAGGCCUUAGGGUUGUAAAGUACUUUCAUCGGGGAGGAAAAACAAAACUAAUAAUUUUAUUUCUUGACGUUACCCGAAAAAGAAGCACCGGCUAACUCCGUGCCAGCAGCCGCGGUAAUACGGAGGGUGCUAGCGUUAAUCAGAAUUACUGGGCGUAAAGAGCACGUAGGUGGUUUUUUUAAGUCAGAUGUGAAAUCCCUGGGCUUAACCUAGGAACUGCAUUUUGAAACUGAAAUACUAGAGUAUCGUAGAGGGAGGUAGAAUUCUAGGUGUAGCGGUGAAAUGCGUAGAUAUCUGGAGGAUACCUGUGGCGAAAGCGGCCUCCUAAACGAAUACUGACACUGAGGUGCGAAAGCGUGGGGAGCAAACGAGGGAUUAGAUACCCGU